rnacentral:rRNA from 1 species
GAUGAACGCUGGCGGCGUGCCUAAUACAUGCAAGUCGAACGAAGAGAGAAGCUUGCUUCUCUUUUAGUGGCGAACGGGUGAGUAAUACAUAAGCAACCUACCUAUUUGACCGGGAUAACAGUUGGAAACGACUGCUAAUACCGGAUAGGUGCGCGGGGGACAUCCCCUGCACAUUAAAGCUGGGACACAGCACGAAUGGAUGGGCUUAUGGCGCAUUAGUUAGUUGGCGGGGUAACGGCCCACCAAGACGAUGAUGCGUAGCCGACCUGAGAGGGUGACCGGCCACACCGGGACUGAGAAACGGCCCAGACUCCGACGGGAGGCAGCAGUGGGGAAUUUUGGACAAUGGGCGCAAGCCUGAUCCAGCCAGGCCGCGUGUGGGAAGAAGGCCUUCGGGUUGUAAACCACUUUUGUCAGGGAAGAAACGGCCGGAUCUAAUACAGCUGGCUAAUGACGGUACCUGAAGAAUAAGCACCGGCUAACUACGUGCCAGCCGCCGCGGUAACAC